UACAGAGGUCUCAAGCGUUGUUCGGAUUCAUUGGGCGUAAAGGGUGCGUAGGCGGCGCGGUAAGUCGGGUGUGAAAUCUCGGAGCUUAACUCCGAAACUGCACUCGAUACUGCUCUGCUUGAGGACUGGAGAGGAGACUGGAAUUCACGGUGUAGCAGUGAAAUGCGUAGAUAUCGUGAGGAAGACCAGUGGCGAAGGCGGGUCUCUGGACAGUUCCUGACGCUGAGGCGCGAAGGCCAGGGGAGCAAACGGG
rnacentral:rRNA from 1 species